GACGAACGAUGGCGGCGUGCUUAACACAUGCAAGUCGAACGGAAAGGCCCUGCUUUUGUGGGGUGCUCGAGUGGCGAACGGGUGAGUAACACGUGAGUAACCUGCCCUUGACUUUGGGAUAACUUCAGGAAACUGGGGCUAAUACCGGAUAGGAGCUCCUGCUGCAUGGUGGGGGUUGGAAAGUUUCGGCGGUUGGGGAUGGACUCGCGGCUUAUCAGCUUGUUGGUGGGGUAGUGGCUUACCAAGGCUUUGACGGGUAGCCGGCCUGAGAGGGUGACCGGCCACAUUGGGACUGAGAUACGGCCCAGACUCCUACGGGAGGCAGCAGUGGGGAAUAUUGCACAAUGGGCGGAAGCCUGAUGCAGCAACGCCGCGUGCGGGAUGACGGCCUUCGGGUUGUAAACCGCUUUCGCCUGUGACGAAGCGUGAGUGACGGUAAUGGGUAAAGAAGCACCGGCUAACUACGUG
rnacentral:rRNA from 1 species